rnacentral:rRNA from 1 species
UACGUAGGGCGCGAGCGUUGUCCGGAAUUAUUGGGCGUAAAGAGCUCGUAGGCGGCCGGUUGCGUCUGCUGUGAAAUCCCGGGGCUUAACCCCGGGCGUGCAGUGGAUACGGGCCGGCUGGAGGCAGGCAGGGGAGAAUGGAAUUCCCGGUGUAGCGGUGAAAUGCGCAGAUAUCAGGAGGAACACCGGUGGCGAAGGCGGGUCUCUGGGCAGUAACUGACGCUGAGGAGCGAAAGCGUGGGGAGCGAACAGG